GGGGCCGUAGCUCAACGGGAGAGCAAUCGCUUAAGACGCGCAAGAUGGGGGUUCGACUCCCCUCGGCUCCACCA
rnacentral:tRNA from 2 species